rnacentral:rRNA from 1 species
GAUGAACGCUGGCGGCGUGCCUAAUACAUGCAAGUCGAGCGAACAGACGAGGAGCUUUCUCCUCUGACGUUAGCGGCGGACGGGUGAGUAACACGUGGAUAACCUACCUAUAAUACUGGGAUAACUUCGGGAAACCGGAGCUAAUACCGGAUAAUAUCUUGAACCGCAUGGUUCAAUAGUGAAAGACGGUUUUGCUGUCACUUAUAGAUGGAUCCGCGCCGCAUUAGCUAGUUGGUAAGGUAACGGCUUACCAAGGCAACGAUGCGUAGCCGACCUGAGAGGGUGAUCGGCCACACUGGAACUGAGACACGGUCCAGACUCCUACGGGAGGCAGCAGUAGGGAAUCUUCCGCAAUGGGCGAAAGCCUGACGGAGCAACGCCGCGUGAGUGAUGAAGGUCUUCGGAUCGUAAAACUCUGUUAUUAGGGAAGAACAAAUGUGUAAGUAACUAUGCACGUCUUGACGGUACCUAAUCAGAAAGCCACGGCUAACUACGUG